rnacentral:misc_RNA from 1 species
GAUGAAGAACGUAGCGAAAUGCGAUAAGUAAUGUGAAUUGCAGAAUUCAGUGAAUCAUCGAAUCUUUGAACGCACAUUGCGCCCCCUGGUAUUCCGGGGGGCAGGCCUGUCCGAGCGUCAUUACAACCCUCAAGCUCAGCUUGGUGUUGGGCCCCGCCGCCCCGGCGGGCCCUAAAGUCAGUGGCGGUGCCGUCCGGCUCCGAGCGUAGUAAUUCUUCUCGCUCUGGAGGUCCGGUCGUGUGCUCGCCAGCAACCCCCAAUUUUUUUCAGGUUGACCUCGGAUCAGGUAGGGAUACCCGCUGAACUUAAGCAUAUCAAUAAGCGGAGGA